GACGAACGCUGGCGGCGGGCUUAACACAUGCAAGUCGAACGGAAAGGUCCUGCUUGUUUGCUGUGCUCGAGUGGCGAACGGGUGAGUAACACUUGAGUAACCUGCCCUUGACUUUGGGAUGGCUUCAAGAAACUGGGGCUAAGACCAGAUAGGAGCUCCUUCUGCAUGGUGGGGGUUGGAAAGUGUCGGAGGUUGUGGAUGUACUCGCGGCUUAUCAGCUUGUUGGUAGUGUAGUGGAUUACCAAGGCUUUGACGGGUAGCCGGCCUGAGAGGGUGACCGGCCAAAUUGGGACUGAGCUACGGGCGAGAGUCCUAAGGGAGGCAGCAGAGGGGACUAGUGCACAAUGGGGCGAAGCCGGAUGAAGGAACGCUGUGUGAGGGAUGAUGGACUUCGGGUUGUAAACCGCUUUCGCAUGUGACGAAGCGUGCGUGCAGGUACCGGGUAAAGAAGCACCGGCUAACUCCGUG
rnacentral:rRNA from 1 species